rnacentral:rRNA from 1 species
CCUACGGGUGGCAGCAGUGAGGAAUAUUGGUCAAUGGGCGCGAGCCUGAACCAGCCAAGCCGCGUGAGGGAUGACGGUCCUACGGAUCGUAAACCUCUUUUGCCGGGGAGCAAACGUGCGUUCGUGAACGCUCGUCGAGAGUACCCGGAGAAAAAGCAUCGGCUAACUCCGUGCCAGCAGCCGCGGUAAUCCGGAGGUAGCGAGCGUUAUCCGGAUUUAUUGGGUUUAAAGGGUGCGUAGGCGGGAUGUCAAGUCGGCGGUAAAAAUGCGGGGCUCAACCCCGUCGAGCCGUUGAAACUGGCGUUCUUGAGUGGGCGAGAGGUAUGCGGAAUGCGUGGUGUAGCGGUGAAAUGCAUAGAUAUCGCGCAGAACUCCGAUUGCGAAGGCAGCAUACCGGGGCCCUACUGACGCUGAGGCACGAAAGCGUGGGGAUCGAACAGGAUUAGAUACCCUGGUAGUC